rnacentral:rRNA from 1 species
UACGGAGGGUGCAAGCGUUAAUCGGAAUUACUGGGCGUAAAGCGCACGCAGGUGGCUGAGUCAGUCGAUUGUGAAAGCCCUGGGCUUAACCUGGGAAUUGCAGUCGAUACUACUCAGCUAGAGUAUGGGAGAGGGCAGUGGAAUUCCCGGUGUAGCGGUGAAAUGCGUAGAUAUCGGAAGGAACACCAGUGGCGAAAGCGGCUUCCUGGUCCAGCACCGACAUUCAGGCACGAAAGCGUGGGGAGCAAACGGG